AUAUCUUCUUUUUCCAAUGUUCGUGGUUUAAAGAGCUGAUCAAUGGCAGAUAAAUACUGGGUUUAAGGUAUUGGAAGCUGGGUUUUUGUCGAUUCAUUGAUUUCUGCUUCACUGACCCUGGUUUAAAGAAAUAUAUACAUCUUCUUUUUUUCUGAAGGUUGAAGCUUCUUAGCUGGUAAUGAUACUCCCCAAUUGCUCUCUCUCUCACUCUGUUUUAUGUCAUGCUUGAAGAGGUAAAGAAAUGUCAACUUGUGGAUUUUGAAUGUUUUGCUAGAGAUACUGAACAUGGGUGUAGUCCAGAGCAGUUUUGGAUGAUGAUACACAACAUUUCUUUUCCUUGACCAUAAACAAGGUUCCAAUUCGCCAACUCUCUCUCUCUCUCAUUUCUUUUCCUUGACCAUAAAACAACGUUCCAAUUCACCAACUCUCUCUCUCUCUUGUGUAUCAUCAUCCAAAACUGCUCGGAUGACACCCAUGUUUAGUAUCUCUAGCAAAGCAUUCAAAAUCCACAAGUUGAUCAUUUCUUUACCUCUUCAAACCUAACAUAAAACAGAGAGAGAGAUGUAAAAUUUGCUGAGAUAGCCGCUUUGUUGAAGAGGGUAUUGAAGAUCCGCAUAUUUGGAGAUGGGGUGCCAGUUCUCCAAAUUGGCACCAGAUGCUGAGAGUCGCAAUUCAAGGGAUCGGUCAUCGAAGUUGCUGAUUUUGAGAACAAUGAGAUGGCCGAACCAAAGUCCUUGCCCGCAUUCCGAGAGUUCAUGUUCAAGCAGCUUAUUUUGAAUGGCAGAAGCAGCUUAAAUGGUC